GGCAGUUCUCGGGUAACGCACCCCAGAAUCGGGCUCUCUCCUCUCUGGUUCCGGGGACAUCACCAGAGAAACACA
rfam:Myotis davidii contig85048, whole genome shotgun sequence.